AUCAUUUUGGCAGAUUAGUGUAUUGAAUUUAGAAUUCAAAUAAGUAAGUAUUUACAUAUGAUA
rnacentral:tRNA from 1 species